rnacentral:lncRNA from 1 species
GACUGUUUGGAGCUAAAUGCGUGUGCUGCAAGAGUGUGUUAUUAAUGAGAAAAAAGCCUGAAGGCACAGUGACUCCUAGCUCAUGGCCAGCAGACCAUUGCUGUUGUUCUGGGGAAGCAAAUGGGAAAAGCAGAGCCAGCCAAGGAGCAGACAGCCUACACAGGGAUGGAUUUUGCUCCUGGCCCUUUCUCAGGCAAGGCGAGAGCUUUUCCUGAGUGCAACCCACAAGACUGGAUCCACAGCUCCUCCGCCUGCAGCACUUCAAGACUUCCAGGUUGGAGACAAUGCGUCUGGAAAUUUGGGGCACUUCAGACUGGCCUUUGAUCACCAGAGAUCAAGAGUAUUUCCACCCAUACAAGAUGCAAACAUGAUCUCUGCUGUUGUGACACAAGCUGGGGUGAGCUGUCCUUCCAGCUCCUUCUGCAAAAGUGCCAAGAGCAUGACAAGUGGGGUCCAACAUACUGGUUUUGGCCAGCUCUCCCCAAAGCCAACAGGAGCCUUGAGUCAGGCCACAGGUAGGCGCAGGGCUUUGAGCA